UACGUAGGGGGCAAGCGUUGUCCGGAUUUAUUGGGCGUAAAGAGCGUGUAGGCGGCCAGAUAGGUCAGCUGUGAAAACUCGAGGCUCAACCUCGAGACGUCGGUUGAAACCAUCUGACUAGAGUCCGGAAGAGGAGAGUGGAAUUCCCGGUGUAGCGGUGAAAUGCGCAGAUAUCGGGAAGAACACCCGUGGCGAAGGCGGCUCUCUGGGACGGUACUGACGCUGAGACGCGAAAGCGUGGGGAGCGAACAGG
rnacentral:rRNA from 1 species